rnacentral:lncRNA from 1 species
AACUAUGAAUUCAUACACCAAACACCCCUUAAACUCUAAUAGAUUAGAAACAUGCCAUAGAAAACCAAGUUUUACGAAACUUAGAAGUGACACCAAUUGAGACACUUAGAACAUGUAAAGUUCCACACAAUUGAGACAACAAAUUGAAAUUGAAGAGUUUGAACCCACACCUAAUUCGCGAUCAGAGACAUCCAGAACCCAACUCGAUGACCAAGAAACUGAAGCUCUCCGAAAACCACAACACAACUAUUUUCAAAAAGAAAAGAAGAAAGAAAAAAAACAAAGAAAGGGGAAGAGGAGAACAUCCAGAAAGAAAGAAAAGAAAAAUAAUAAAAUAAACACUAAGUAAAGAAAAUAAUUAUCUAAACCUUUAAAACAAAACAAAAAUGGUUCCUUAAAACACUCCUGAGGACUCGAACCUGGGACCUAAAGGCACACUAACACACUACCAAC